rnacentral:lncRNA from 1 species
GUCAUACACCUGCACCCGGGAGGAAAGGCGAGGCUCUGCAUCUAGAUUUACCUCGUUCUCUUUUGUCUCCGCUUUUUUUUCACAUUUCCUUGCGACCCUGGCCCUUGAGCGACAAAAAGGGGAAGCCAAGGCUGGCCCGAGGAACGGAGAGGGCACAUGGCCUAGCCACAAGUGGAGCUUCUGCUCCGCCCGAAGGGAUGCGCUGGAGCGGCCUCUUCCUUCUGCCACGGUCUUUCUUUGCCAACUAGUAGGUGGAGACUGGACCUCAGAAGAGGGAGUGGGUGCCCCGAGAACUCACAGCUAGCGGACAGUGGAAAGGGCAGGAGCCGGACCAAGGUGAGGACAGUGGAACUGAAGGCCGCUGGUUACCUCUCCUGCCCUCCGCUGGCCACAGUGGAGAAGACAGCCCCUCCCUCCUGCUCUGACCUGACAGUGUUCAUCCAUCGCCCUGUAUUAGCGAAGAACAACAUCAAGCUGGCUAGCAAGGAACUGUAUACAGGGUCCAGCUGGGUAUCACACUGGAUCUCACCCAAAGCUUAGAUGUGAUCCAGCUCAGUAUCACAAAGCAGAACGAAAAGGAUGUGUUUGGGCUGAGAGGCCAUACAUUGGUAAGUGGCACAUGAACUGUAUUUUCUAUUGAGCAUUGCUGGUAUAUGGCAAAUUUGCAUAAAAUUAUAUUGAAAUUGAC